AGCUGUAAGCAGCAGAGACAAGAAUGAGACGGUGGCUUGAGAAAAACUUCAGAAAACUGUAAAUCUGGUUGUAGGGCAGCUGGUUGGAUUGAUAAUGCUGCAGCCCUUAAACACAAAAUGCUAGAUUGGUAUAAAACCAUUCUGAUGUAAGAUGCAUCAGCCUAUGGGACUCCAAACAGCACAGAACUGGGUCAAGAAUGCUCCCGCCAGGAAAGACAAUGGUUACUUAGGGUUUGUCUACUCAGGGAGCUCAGAGCUGCUGAUGGAUGUUACCAAGCUUCAUGUGAACCAGCUUCAUCCAUGAAAAGGUAGCAGAAGGUGAAGUGUGCCAAAUUCAUGGCUGCUGGAAGCCACUUUCAAACUUCUAGCAAGGUGGUCCGUCCAGUUUUUAUUGCCACAGCUCUGUAUUGGUUACAGCUUCAAGGAAAGGAAAUGUAUACUUGCCACUUGAAGUACCCAGAUGCAGGACAGACAUCUUGAGAGGACACGCUCAAACAUUUCUGCCUAUUUUCAAGUGAACUUGCAGUUCUGGAACUUCCAAGGCAGAUGAGGAAAAGAAACUGAAGACAGUGAGAUGAAGGAGGGAUUAUUCUCCUUUAACCAGGUUGUAACACAAACAUUCAAAAACUAUUUGGUACUUCCAUUGUCACAGGAACCACGUGACCACAGAUGAGAAUAACAUAUUUCCAACCAAAUUCUGUAACAACAUUUUCUCAACUGCUAAAGGAGUAAUAAGCUGAUGGUAAAACAUGAAUCAUUUAGUCUAUAUAAAUACAUGAUUUUAGCAUGGGUGCAUUGUGGAAAGCUAUGUCACAAGUGUAUGAUGUAUAUUGAAAGAUGAUGGAUAAUUUCACUGCAAUUAUUUGUUCUUUU